CUCCCGUCCCUUUAUAAACACACCCUACAGGCUACAACAACCAAAAGGGAGAGGAACACAUUUUUAAAAUAGAGACAAAGGGGAUGGAGAACAACACACGAGAAAAGUAAAAGGGAAAAAAAGAAAACGACAAAGACCAAAAGAGGGAGAGUUGAGAACAAAAGAAAAAAGAAGAAGAGAUAAAUCUAGAAGAAAGGCAAGGAGAAAUGGAAUAGAAAGGGGAAGGAAAGGACUUGGCAAGUUUGAGUUCAGGGUCUUGUUCGAGUUUUUUGAUUUGACGUAAAAGCUUUUUGUUUGGUUUAGUUCGUCAUACAAAUUCUUAAUUAAUCUUUGUACUAUUAUUUUUGCAAGUUUCAUGGUAAAUCGAAGUAUGAUCGAAUGUUUAAAUUAUUUCGUAUAGCAUCUAGUAUGAAAGUUUGUGAUUUAUAUGAAAUUUAUGCUCGACGUCUUUAUUUAUAAUUUUGUUUUUGAAAUGAUGUUACUCCAAUUGUUUUUGAAUAUUAGAUAAUAUAAUUUCUUAAAGUUAACAAUGCUAAAAAGGCGACAAGUUACGUUUAGUUUAUAAUUAGGGUGUAGUUAUAAUUAACCCAGAACAUAUGAUCUAUGCAUGAAUACACAUAAAUAAGAAAAAAAAAAGAAUAAAAAUUAAUGUACACAUACAUACAUAAUACUAUACUACAUACAUUUUGCAUGCAUGGGAGGGAGAGGAUAUCGAAACAAUACUUAUAAAAGUUGAUUUUGCUAACAUGUAUUUAGGAGGUGGUGCUUUUGUUAGGGGUUGUGUGCAGGUUCUUUUCUGGACGUUUUUCUUUUCGUUUUCAUAUUUUUGAAUCUAAAAGUUAGCCAUUAUUUUUAUUAUUGAUAAUUUUCUAAAAUUAAUUCAUCCAAACAAGUUGUUUUUGUCAUUUAUUUGCCGCACUGCACUGCACUUUUUGCUUUUGAAGUUGGAGAUUUUCGUCUAAUUCCUAAAGUGAAUGCUCUGCAUAUACAAGCCUUUCGAUACAUUUAUUUUGAUGAAGAAGAGAAAUGAUAUAUUGUCCGUUGAUCUUCAACAUUAGGAAUGCCAUCACUGUUAUCAUUUUUUUUCUGUUGCUUACAAUCAAAAAUUUUUUCUUUUGUAGUGAUAGGUAAAAUGCGUUGGGUUCAAAGUGUGUAUGAAAUGUGAAUGGAAAAUGGAAAAUGAUGGAGGAAAGGAGACACCCAAUUUAGAAAGUGUACUCCAAAUUGAAAAGUUCACUAAUUCUCCCACAUUGGUGGGAGAAGAAAACUUUGGAGUGUUUAUAAUAAGAACACUUACACCACAUGGUAAGUGAGGCAAGAAGGAAACUUUGGAGUGUUUAUUUUGAUGAAGGAAGCCUUGUUGCACGAUUCCUUGACUUCAA
rnacentral:lncRNA from 1 species